AACGAACGCUGGCGGCAUGCCUAACACAUGCAAGUCGAACGAGACCUUCGGGUCUAGUGGCGCACGGGUGCGUAACGCGUGGGAACCUGCCCUUAGGUUCGGAAUAACUCCCCGAAAGGGGUGCUAAUACCGGAUAAUGUCUUCGGACCAAAGAUUUAUCGCCGUUGGAUGGGCCCGCGUUGGAUUAGCUAGUUGGUAGGGUAAAAGCCUACCAAGGCGACGAUCCAUAGCUGGUCUGAGAGGAUGAUCAGCCACACUGGGACUGAGACACGGCCCAGACUCCUACGGGAGGGAGCAGUGGGGAAUAGUGGACAAUGGGCGAAAGCCUGAUCCAGCAAUGCCGCGUGAGUGAUGAAGGCAUUAGGGUUGUAAAGCGCUUUUACCCGGGAUGAUAAUGACAGUACCGGGAGAAUAAGCUCCGGCUAACUCCGUG
rnacentral:rRNA from 1 species